UGGAAGGGAAGUUUCUGAAAAUGAUAAUAUGAAGUUUGUGCCGUUGAUGCGCUUCCGUUGCAUGGGUUUUUAUCCCCAGGAAUUUGAGUUUGGGGAUGAUUGGGCCGCAACAUUGAAAGAUCAUGAAGAUGAAAUGAACUUCCAAGAGAAUCUCUGGCAUUUUGAGAAUGGGUCAGUUCUAUUGAAGCACAAUGGAGAUGCAGCAUCCGUGUAUAAUUUGGACAGUGUCUUUGAGUGCAUUGAGUAGAGAAUUAGUAUGAUCUAGAGAGUAUAGUUUAAGUUAUGCAUGUCAUGAUUGGUUUGCAGCUGGAAUGUCUGGGAUGUGAUGUAUUUUUUUUUUCUUUUUUUCUUUUCUUUUAUUUUAAUCUGGAUCUUUAGCUUAAUGUUUUUUAAAAUAUAAAGUCUUUAGUGGCUUUAUUAUAGUUUGUGAUGUGAUUUCUUUUUCCUGUUUAUUAGUUUAAUGUCUUUUGAACUUAAACAUGGAAUUUCUUUAGAGGCU